GAUGAACGCUGGCGGCGUGCUUAACACAUGCAAGUCGAACGGAAAGGCUCCUGCUUGCCGGGGUACUCGAGUGGCGAACGGGUGAGUAACACGUGGGUGAUCUGCCCUGCACUUCGGGAUAAGCCUGGGAAACUGGGUCUAAUACCGGAUAGGACGAUGGUUUGGAUGCCAUUGUGGAAAGGUUUUCGGUGUGGGAUGAGCUCGCGGCCUAUCAGCUUGUUGGUGGGGUAAUGGCCUACCAAGGCGUCGACGGGUAGCCGGCCUGAGAGGGUGUACGGCCACAGUGGGACUGAGGUACGGCCCGGACGCCUACGGGAGGAAGCAGUGGAGAAUAUAGCACAAUGGGCGCAAGCCGGAUGCAGCGACGCCGCGUGGGGGAUGACGGCCUUCGGGUUGGAAACUCCUUUCGCUAGGGACGAAGCGCAAGGGACGGUACCAGGAGAAGAAGCACCGGCUAACUACGU
rnacentral:rRNA from 1 species